rnacentral:rRNA from 1 species
AUUGAACGCUGGCGGCAGGCCUAACACAUGCAAGUCGAACGAGUGGCGGACGGGUGAGUAAUGUCUGGGAAACUGCCUGAUGGAGGGGGAUAACUACUGGAAACGGUAGCUAAUACCGCAUACCAUCAGAUGUGCCCAGAUGGGAUUUGCUUGUUGGUGGGGUAACGCCUCACCAAGGCGACGAUCCCUAGCUGGUCUGAGAGGAUGACGGGCCAAACUGGAACGGGACCACGGUCCAGACUCCUACGGGAGGCAGCAGUGGGGAAUAUUGGCCAAUGGGCGCAAGCCUGCUGCAGACAUGCCGCUGUUAUAAAGAAGGCCUUCGGGUUUUAAAGUACUUUCAGCGGGGAGGCGUUACCCGCAGAAGAAGCAACGGCUAACUCCGUGACAGCAGCCGCGGUAAUUC